AAACGGCGGCCGUAACUAUAACGGUCCUAAGGUAGCGAAAUUCCUUGUCGGGUAAGUUCCGACCUGCACGAAUGGCGUAAUGAUGGCCAGGCUGUCUCCACCCGAGACUCAGUGAAAUUGAACUCGCUGUGAAGAUGCAGUGUACCCGCGGCAAGACGGAAAGACCCCGUGAACCUUUACUAUAGCUUGACACUGAACACUGGUCCUUGAUGUGUAGGAUAGGUGGGAGGCUUUGAAGCGUGGACGCCAGUCUGCGUGGAGCCGUCCUUGAAAUACCACCCUUUAAUGGCUGGUGUUCUAACGUAGACCCGUGAUCCGGGUUGCGGACAGUGUCUGGUGGGUAGUUUGACUGGGGCGGUCUCCUCCCAAAGAGUAACGGAGGAGCACGAAGGUUAGCUAAUCCUGGUCGGACAUCAGGAGGUUAGUGCAAUGGCAUAAGCUAGCUUGACUGCGAGAGUGACGGCUCGAGCAGGUGCGAAAGCAGGUCAUAGUGAUCCGGUGGUUCUGAAUGGAAGGGCCAUCGCUCAACGGAUAAAAGGUACUCCGGGGAUAACAGGCUGAUACCGCCCAAGAGUUCAUAUCGACGGCGGUGUUUGGCACCUCGAUGUCGGCUCAUCACAUCCUGGGGCUGAAGUAGGUCCCAAGGGUAUGGCUGUUCGCCAUUUAAAGUGGUACGCGAGCUGGGUUUAGAACGUCGUGAGACAGUUCGGUCCCUAUCUGCCGUGGGCGCUGGAGAAUUGAGGGGGGCUGCUCCUAGUACGAGAGGACCGGAGUGGACGCAUCACUGGUGUUCGGGUUGUCAUGCCAAUGGCACUGCCCGGUAGCUAAAUGCGGAAAAGAUAAGUGCUGAAAGCAUCUAAGCACGAAACUUGCCCCGAGAUGAGUUCUCCCUGACCCUUUAAGGGUCCUGAAGGAACGUUGAAGACGACGACGUUGAUAGGUCGGGUGUGUAAGCGCAGCGAUGCGUUGAGCUAACCGAUACUAAUGAACCGUGAGGCUUAACCUUACAACGCCGAAGCUGUU
rnacentral:rRNA from 1 species